AGCAGCCGCGGUAAUUCCAGCUCCAAUAGCGUAUAUUAAAGUUGCUGCAGUUAAAAAGCUCGUAGUUGAAUUUCGGGAUCAAUAUGUUGGUCGUGCCUUGGUACGUACUAGCUCAUUGGUUUCUCCCUUCUGACGAACCAUGAUGUCAUUAAUUUGAUGUCAUGGGGAAUCAGGACUGUUACUUUGAAAAAAUUAGAGUGUUUAAAGCAGGCUCGCGCUUGAAUACAUUAGCAUGGAAUAAUGAAAUAGGACAUUUGAUUCUAUUUUGUUGGUUUCUAGGAUCGAUGUAAUGAUUAAUAGGGAUAGUUGGGGGCAUUAGUAUUCAAUUGUCAGAGGUGAAGUUCUUGGAUUU
rnacentral:rRNA from 1 species